UACGUAGGGUGCAAGCGUUAAUCGGAAUUACUGGGCGUAAAGCGUGCGCAGGCGGUUUUGUAAGUCUGUCGUGAAAUCCCCGGGCUCAACCUGGGAAUUGCGAUGGAGACUGCAAGGCUAGAAUCUGGCAGAGGGGGGUAGAAUUCCACGUGUAGCAGUGAAAUGCGUAGAGAUGUGGAGGAACACCGAUGGCGAAGGCAAUCCCCUGGGCCUGUACUGACGCUCAUGCACGAAAAGCGUGGGGAGCAAACAGG
rnacentral:rRNA from 1 species